GACGAACGCUGGCGGCGUGCUUAACACAUGCAAGUCGAACGGAAAGGCCCUGCUUUUGUGGGGUGCUCGAGUGGCGAACGGGUGAGUAACACGUGAGUAACCUGCCCUUGACUUUGGGAUAACUUCAGGAAACUGGGGCUAAUACCGGAUAGGAGCUCCUGCUGCAUGGUGGGGGUUGGAAAGUUUCGGCGGUUGGGGAUGGACUCGCGGCUUAUCAGCUUGUUGGUGGGGUAGUGGCUUACCAAGGCUUUGACGGGUAGCCGGCCUGGGAGGGUGGCCGGCCACAUUGGGACUGAGAGACGGCCCAGACUCCAACGGGAGGCAGCAGGGGGGAAUAUUGCGCAAUGGGCGGAAGCCUGAUGCAGCAACGCCGCGUGCGGGAUGACGGCCUUCGGGUUGUAAACCGCUUUCGCCUGUGACGAAGCGUGAGUGACGGUAAUGGGUAAAGAAGCACCGGCUAACUACGUG
rnacentral:rRNA from 1 species